CAGUAGCCACGGUAAUACGGAGGGUGCAAGCGUUAAUCGGAAUUACUGGGCGUAAAGCGCACGCAGGCGGUCUGACAAGUCAGAUGUGAAAUCCCCGAGCUUAACCUGGGAACUGCAUUUGAAACUGUCAGGCUGGAGUCUUGUAGAGGGGGGUGGAAUUCCAGGUGUAGCGGUGAAAUGCGUAGAGAUCUGGAGGAAUACCGGUGGCGAAGGCGGCCCCCUGGACAAAGACUGACGCUCAGGUGCGAAAGCGUGGGGAGCAAACAGGAUUAGAUACCCGCGUAGUCCCUGUCUCUUAUAC
rnacentral:rRNA from 1 species